rnacentral:rRNA from 1 species
UACGUAGGGCGCAAGCGUUGUCCGGAAUUAUUGGGCGUAAAGAGCUCGUAGGCGGUUUGUCGCGUCUGCUGUGAAAACUGGGGGCUCAACUCCCAGCCUGCAGUGGGUACGGGCAGACUAGAGUGCGGUAGGGGAGAUUGGAAUUCCUGGUGUAGCGGUGGAAUGCGCAGAUAUCAGGAGGAACACCGAUGGCGAAGGCAGAUCUCUGGGCAGUAACUGACGCUGAGGAGCGAAAGCAUGGGGAGCGAACAGG